rnacentral:sRNA from 1 species
GUUGUCUGAAGGCCGAGGGCAAGAUGGCGGCGCUGUCAGCUCCUGGCCUGCGCAGCUUCUGGAUCCUUGGUCUUCGCUCCAGCGUGGGCACAGCUGUGCAGGCACAAGGUGUUCAUCAGAGCGUGGCCACCGAUGGCCCAAGCAGCACCCAGCCUGCCCUGCCAAAGGCCAGAGCCGUGGCUCCCAAACCCAGCAGCCGGGGCGAGUAUGUGGUGGCCAAGCUGGAUGACCUCAUCAACUGGGCCCGCCGGGUGAGUCUACUAUGAGCUUCAGGCCCUCCUCGAGUGCCAGGGCCUCUCUGCACACUCACAGGCACACACAUACACACACAAACGUACAGACACGUACACACACAACACAUGCAUGCAAGCUCACAUGUAUGGACAGACAUGUGUACAUGCACCACUCACGCACACACAUGCACAUAUGCACACUUGCACACACGCACACUGACACAUACACAUGCACACACGCACACUCAUGCACACACAUAUGCACACAUGCACACACACAUGCACACACUUGUGCACACAUGCACACCUAUACAUACGCACAUGCACACUCGCACUCAUGCGCACACGCACACACAUGCACACAUUUACACACGCACUCAUGCACACAUAUGCACACACACGUACACAUGCACACUCACACAUGUAUGCACACUCACGCACACACAUGCACACACAUCCUUGUGUGGACACAUGCAUGUGCACCUAUUGGCAUGCAUGCACACAGGGACACUCACUGAUGCACACACACCCGUGCAGCUGUGGAGCAGGGUGGACCCUCCCGGAGGCCCCUGUGCUGGCCUAGUGGCCUGUGGUUCCAUCUGAGGAUUCGGACCCUGCUUGAGAUGACCCCCUCCCUUUCCGUCAUUCUCUUUUGGGCUUUUGUGUGUUCCUCUUGUUUCUCUUUUAAGGUGAAAGCAGUGUUUUAAGUUAAAAGGAGCGCGUGUGAAGGCAGUAGAUCCUUCUCGGUACUCGUCUAAAGCCUCCCCUACCUGUGGCGCCAGUCCCCACGCAGCCCCUGCCAUCCCCCUGCAGCGUGAGCACGUGCAGCUCCCUCCAGCUCCUGCGGCACUUGCCGCGACAGCCCGGGUUCAACAAUCCCCCAUUGAUGGACGUUCACUGUUUCCUUUUGUUUUUUGUUUCCUAAACAAUGCCACUGCGAACAUCCUGCCAGGGCCGCAGUGGUCGAGACAAGGAUGCCCACUGCAGGAUAGUUUCUAAUGGAGGGCACCUGAGGCAUGGCCAGGGGCCGUCCCAACACAGGCUCCUGGUGGGCAGGUGGGCCUGGCCGUUUCUGCCCGGGCAGCCCUGCCUCGCUCUGUAGUCUGGCCCUGUCACCCGCCAACACAUGCAGCAGGGCCCCUGCCAGGUCUCGGAGCCGCGUGCAGGGAGAGCGGGAAUCGCGGGGGAAAUGAGAAGCUACAGAGAUGGAGGAGAGGAGAGAGAGUGGCCAAGGAGAUCUGAGAGGGCUUCCUGGAGGCGUCGCACUUGGUAUGCGGACCCAGAUCUAGUUAAUGCAGAGAGUUCCUGGUCAGACCUGCGCUACUAAUCGCCUGUAGCCCACGCGCUCAGAGAGUGGCUGGAGCCCCCUGUUGAAAUGGUGGGACUUAGGAUACACUGGGUUCGAGGAACUGUGUGAUGAGGACAGAUCUCACCCGUUUCUCUCUAUUUUAUUUAUUCGAAUGUGGCUGGUGGGGCGCGCUUUAAACUCUUGGGGCCCGGAAGCCACCUGCAGGAGCCGCUGUGCCUCUCACCUCUGCCGGCUGCCGCCCCGGGACAUGAGUCGGGGGUUCUAGGUGCUCCACGUGGAGUCUCACGCUGGGCCACGCGGGGCUCCGGGGGUGGCAUCUGACCCGAGCCUGGCCUCUGCAGAGUUCUCUGUGGCCCAUGACCUUCGGCCUGGCCUGCUGCGCCGUGGAGAUGAUGCACAUGGCCGCACCCCGCUACGACAUGGACCGCUUCGGCGUGGUCUUCCGCGCCAGCCCGCGCCAGUCCGACGUCAUGAUCGUGGCCGGCACACUCACCAACAAGAUGGCCCCAGCGCUUCGCAAGGUAGGCCUCGUCCCCGCCGCCCAGCCGCCCCCAGAGUGAGCUGCGCACGGACCCCGUCUCUCUUCCAGGUCUACGACCAGAUGCCGGAGCCGCGCUACGUGGUCUCCAUGGGGAGCUGCGCCAACGGAGGAGGCUACUACCACUACUCAUACUCGGUGGUGAGGGGCUGCGACCGCAUCGUGCCUGUGGACAUCUACAUCCCAGGUAGGGCCGGGACCGCACCGCCCACGAGGGAGCUGGGGACAGGGCCAGCGCCACACGGAGCCCGGCGGCCCCUGUGAGGGAGUCCCACACCCCAAGCAGACGGCGGGCUCCCCCAUCCUGUGGAUGGGCCGACUCGGGGCUCUCCCUCUUAGUGGAGCGUGUCCCCUAUGAGAAGUCAGCGAUGUAUUCAGGCAUCAGAGGGAUCAGAGGGAGGAGGGGAGGCGGAGUGGAAUUCCUGACACUCGCCUGGUUUACAGCAGUUUCAUAUGGUCCUGCCUGACAGAAACCAAAGACCUGCAGUUAGAAAUACCAAGAGAGAAGGUUCCUGGAGGCCAAGACACUAUCCCGCGCCCUCAGCCUUACAGAAGGGCACGAGGA